rnacentral:rRNA from 1 species
UACGUAGGGUCCAAGCGUUAUCCGGAAUCACUGGGCGUAAAGCGUGCGUAGGCGGACUGUUAAGUGUGACAUUAAAUCCCGUGGCUCAACCAUGUGGCUGUGUCGCAUACUGACUGUCUGGAGGACAUGAGAGGCAAGUGGAAUUACUGGUGUAGCAGUGAAAUGCGUAGAUAUCAGUAGGAACACCAAUUGCGAAGGCAGCUCGCUAAAACUGUAACUGACGCUGAGGCACGAAAGCGUGGGGAUCAAACAGG